GGAGAGAUGGCCGAGUGGUUGAAGGCGCACGCCUGGAACGCGUGUAUAGGGAAACCUAUCGAGAGUUCGAAUCUCUCUCUCUCCGCCA
rnacentral:tRNA from 1 species